GGCUGGUUAGCUCAGUCAGUUGAGCAUAGUGCUGGCAACGCUAAGGUUGUGGGUUCGAUUCCCAUUCGGUCC
rnacentral:tRNA from 1 species